rfam:Astyanax mexicanus Tnplaced_Scaffold3825, whole genome shotgun sequence.
UGGAAUGACGAGAUGGCAAGAUGUUGGCAUAGCUGUUUGCCUUCACCCUGCUAUGCCUCCAUAUUGCCAUUUUUACAC